rnacentral:rRNA from 1 species
CCUGGCUUAGGAUGAACGCUAGCGACAGGCCUAACACAUGCAAGUCAGGGGCAGCACAAGGAGCAAUCUGAGGUGGCGACCGGCGCACGGGUGAGUAACACGUAUGCAACCUGCCUGUAAGCGGGGAAUAACCCGUUGAAAGACGGACUAAUACCGCAUAAUACUAAAUUACUGCAUGGUAAUUUAUUUAAACAUUUAUGGCUUACAGAUGGGCAUGCGCAUGAUUAGCUAGUUGGAGAGGUAACGGCUCCCCAAGGCAACGAUCAUUAGGGGUUCUGAGAGGAAGGUCCCCCACACUGGUACUGAGACACGGACCAGACUCCUACGGGAGGCAGCAGUGAGGAAUAUUGGUCAAUGGACGAGAGUCUGAACCAGCCAAGUCGCGUGCAGGAAGAAUGUUCCCUAUGGAUUGUAAACUGCUUUUGCAGGGGAAUAAAGUGCAUCACGUGUGAUGUUUUGUAUGUACUCUGCGAAUAAGGAUCGGCUAACUCCGUGCCAGCAGCCGC